rnacentral:rRNA from 1 species
CCGACGGUGAGGGGUGAAAGCUGGGGGAGCAAACCGGAUUAGAUACCCGGGUAGUCCCAGCUGUAAACUAUGCAAACUCGAUGAUGCGUUGGCUUAUUGCUAGCGCAGUGUCGCAGGGAAGCCGUUAAGUUUGCCGCCUGGGAAGUACGUACGCAAGUUAUGAAACUUAAAGGAAUUGGCGGGGGAGCACCACAAGGGGUGAAGCCUGCGGUUCAAUUGGAGUCAACGCCUGAAACCUUACCCGGAGAGACAGCAGAAUGAAGGUCAAGCUGAAGACUUUACCAGACAAGCUGAGAGGUGGUGCAUGGCCGUCGCCAGCUCGUGCCGUGAGAUGUCCUGUUAAGUCAGGUAACGAGCGAGAUCCCUGCCUCUAGUUGCCACUAUUACACCCUGGUGUAGUAGGGCGAAUUAGGGGGACCGCCGCAGUUAAUGCGGAGGAAGGAAGGGGCCACGGCAGGUCAGUAUGCCCCGAAACUCUGGGGCCACACGCGGGCUGCAAUGGUAACGACAAUGAGUCCCGAAAUCGAAAGAUAGAGGUAAUCCCUAAACGUUACCACAGUUGUGAUUGAGGGCUGCAACUCGCCCUCAUGAACAUGGAAUCCCUAGUAACCGCGUGUCAUUAUCGCGCAGUGAAUACGUCCCUGCUCCUUGCACUCACCGCCCGU